AAGGCUUUAAGUUAAUUAAACUAAUAUCCUUCAAAGCUAUAAAUAAAGAGAUUUUCUUUAAGUCUUA
rnacentral:tRNA from 1 species